UACGUAGGUCCCGAGCGUUGUCCGGAUUUAUUGGGCGUAAAGCGAGCGCAGGUGGUUUAUUAAGUCUGGUGUAAAAGGCAGUGGCUCAACCAUUGUAUGCAUUGGAAACUGGUAGACUUGAGUGCAGGAGAGGAGAGUGGAAUUCCAUGUGUAGCGGUGAAAUGCGAAGAUAUAUGGAGGAACACCGGUGGCGAAAGCGGCUCUCUGGCCUGUAACUGACACUGAGGCUCGAAAGCGUGGGGAGCAAACAGG
rnacentral:rRNA from 1 species